rnacentral:rRNA from 1 species
CCUACGGGAGGCAGCAGUGAGGAAUAUUGGUCAAUGGACGAGAGUCUGAACCAGCCAAGUAGCGUGAAGGAUGACUGCCCUAUGGGUUGUAAACUUCUUUUAUAUGGGAAUAAAAUGUUCCACGUGUGGGAUUUUGUAUGUACCAUAUGAAUAAGGAUCGGCUAACUCCGUGCCAGCAGCCGCGGUAAUACGGAGGAUCCGAGCGUUAUCCGGAUUUAUUGGGUUUAAAGGGAGCGUAGGUGGAUUGUUAAGUCAGUUGUGAAAGUUUGCGGCUCAACCGUAAAAUUGCAGUUGAAACUGGCAGUCUUGAGUACAGUAGAGGUGGGCGGAAGUCGUGGUGUAGCGGUGAAAGGCUUAGAUAUCACGAAGAACUCCGAUUGCGAAGGCAGCUUACUAAACUGCCACUGACAUUGAUGCUCGAAAGUGUGGGUAUCAAACAGGAUUAGAUACCCCAGUAGUC